GCCGGUGUUGCUCGCUGGUUAGAGCAUUCACCCGCAAACUGAAGGAUCAUGGGUUCAAUUCCCAGUCAAGGGCA
rnacentral:tRNA from 1 species